UACGUAGGGUGCGAGCGUUAAUCGGAAUUACUGGGCGUAAAGCGUGCGCAGGCGGUUCGCUAAGACAGGUGUGAAAUCCCCGGGCUUAACCUGGGAAUGGCGCUUGUGACUGGCGGGCUGGAGUACGGCAGAGGGAGGUGGAAUUCCACGUGUAGCAGUGAAAUUCGUAGAGAUGUGGAGGAACACCGAUGGCGAAGGCAGCCUCCUGGGCCAGUACUGACGCUCAUGCACGAAAGCGUGGGGAGCAAACAGG
rnacentral:rRNA from 1 species